rnacentral:rRNA from 1 species
GACAGAGGGGGCAAGCGUUGCUCGGAAUUACUGGGCGUAAAGGGCGCGUAGGCGGGAUGGUAAGUCGGUCGUGAAAUCCCUCGGCUCAACCGAGGAACGUCGAUCGAUACUACCGUUCUUGAGGAUUGCAGAGGAGACUGGAAUUCCUGGUGUAGCGGUGAAAUGCGCAGAUAUCAGGAGGAACACCGGUGGCGAAGGCGGGUCUCUGGGCCGUAACUGACGCUGAGGAGCGAAAGCAUGGGGAGCGAACAGG